AGCUUUGUGCAGUGGCAGUAUCAUAGCCAAUGAGGUUUAUCCGAGGCGCGAUUAUUGCUAAUUGAAAACUUUUACCAAGUGAC
rnacentral:snRNA from 1 species